GAGUAGUAUUACAAAUCUGAGUUAGAUACACUUGGUCAGAAUGUUGGGCAAACCUUGCUGUCUUCUCCUUCCUCAUAGGCGCAAAGAGAAGAAGGCCAACCCGAAGACUGAAUACUUUCCCGUUAGCUUUCUUCUUCCCUUAGACGCUGAAGUGAGAGUCUCCAAACUGAUUGCUCACUCCAUGGAUUAGAAGCAAACCAAAUCUCUCUUAUUCCUUGUGACCGUGAGCUCUUUUGAGAGUAACACAAAAGAAAACCUCCGAGACUUUACAUCACUCUCAUCCCUUGCAGAAGCCUUGAACUUCAAAGGAAAGGGCAUUACUCUAGCAAGGAGUUGAGGUACUGCCUCUCCGUACAUGCACCUCACCAUUUCUCUCUGUCCCUCCAUGGAACUUCCCCUCGCAUGCAGCCGAAGCCAGAACUAUAGGAGCGCUGAGAGAGGGCAGAAGCUGCUACAUCUUUUGGUUGCUGCCCCGUGACCAUUUAAGAACCUUUGGUCACAUGUAAUAAGGUGCACGUAAUUCUUAUUGAGUGGGCUGAAUUUUGGUGCUGUUGAUUAUUGCAUGGACAUAAGGAGGACGUAAAAGCUUUUGAGGAUUUGGAUAUUUGCUGUUGGCUUCUACUGUUUUGGGCAUGCUGCUAUUGAUGUGAUAUUUUAUGGAUGACUGUAUGAAAUUGAGAAGCUUUUAUUACUGUGAACUAUGAUUUUAUUAUUGCAUUACGAUUUUAUGACCAGCAAGUAUUUUGGAAACAGAUGUUGAAAUUUGCGAAAAGGAUUUUGACAUGUUAUCUAAAUGCUGAGUUUUGAAAAGUCUUUGCGAGCACUUUGUAAGUUGUCGUAUUGGGGCUAUGGACCUCCGAUUUUCUUAUAAACCUUGCAAAGAAAUUCUGAAAGAUCGAUUUAUUAUGAAUUUUACCAGCCAGGACAUUUGUGAUAUUUCCACUAUUUUCUCUCUUAUUUUGCGAGUUAUGUUUCGAGGGGCA